rnacentral:rRNA from 1 species
UGUAAAGUUCAAGCUCCGAUUAUGAGGGCGAAACCGCGAAUGGCUCAUUAAAUCAGUCAUAAUCUACUUGAUUGAUUAAAGGUUACAUGGAUAACUGUGGUAAUUCUAGAGCUAAUACAUGCACAAAUGGGGCGACUCCUUUCACGAGGAGAAGCUCUGCGUUUAUUAGACUAAGACCAAUGAUUGUCCGCAAGGACUUUCAACUUUAAGGUGACUCUGAGUAAAUAACGGGUGAAAGCCCGUGCUGCCGACCUGACAUACCAAAUGGAGUUGCAAAACUUCAGUCAGGCGAAUCAAUCGAGUGUCUGCUCUAUCAACUGUGGAUGGUAGGAUAAUUGCCUACCAUGGUGAUGACGGGUAACGGGGAGUUAGGGCUCGACUCCGGAGAACAAGCCUGAGAAACGGCUAGUAGGACUAAGGUCUGCAGCAGGCGCGAAACUUACACAAUGCUAGAUUACCUAUAGCGAUGUAGUGAAGAAAAAUAACGAUGUACUUCCAUUUAAACAUGGUAGUACAAUUGGAAUGAGACGACUCUAAACCAGUUAGUCGAGUAACAAAUGGAGGGCAAGUCUGGUGCCAGCAGCCGCGGUAAUUCCAGCUCCAUUAGCAUACAUUAAAGUUGUUGCGGUUAAAAAGCUCGUAGUUGAAUUUUAGGCGGGCUCUAUUGGGAUGCAAUCGUUAAGGCUUACUUGUUUCCUCUGUUAAACAAUGUUUAUCAUGUUCUUGUAUAGCUGGUUGUAUUUUCCCUAUAGGAACCCGUUGUUUCGUCACUUAUUCGAGUGCGAAGCGUGCUGGAACAUAACGAACUUCGGUUCAAUGUUACAGCAAGUUUACCUUGAGAAAAUUAGAGUGCUCACAGCAGGCAGUUGGGGUGUAAAAACCUCUUUUUGCUUGAAUAAUGUUGCAUGGAAUAAUAGAAUACGGCCUCGGUUCUAUUCUGUUGGUCUUAUAGAACAACAAACAAGUUGGUUAAAGCGAUCAAAAGUUUGCUUGCGAGUGUGGCUUUAUAGCUUAGUUUUGGUAUAGUUUUGUUGUCUGGGGCCUAAAAAUCUCAGUACCAAGCUAUUGCUAAUUCUAACUUUUAGUCAUUUAAAGCACUCCUAGUUAAACUAGCUUUCUAAUCAACUGAGGCAAUGGUUAAAAGAAAUAGUCGCGGCGGCAUCAGUACUGCAUCGUGAGAGGUGAAAUUCUUAGACCGAUGCAAGACUAACUGAAGCGAAAGCGUUUGCCGAGGAUAUUUUCAUUAAUCAAGAACGAAAGUUAGAGGUUCGAAGGCGAUCAGAUACCGCCCUAGUUCUAACCAUAAACGUUGCCAACUAGCAAUUGGGUUGCGAUUCCUUUAAUCGAAGCGUAAAAAACUUCGAUCAUUAUGAUCCACCCAGCGGCUCUCGUAGGGAAACCAAAGUGUUUGGGUUCCGGGGGAAGUAUGAUUGCAAAGUUGAAACUUAAAGGAAUUGACGGAAGGGCACCACCAGGAGUGGAGCCUGCGGCUUAAUUUGACUCAACACGGGGAAACUUACUAGAUUAGAACUCUGGAAUGAUUGACAGAUUGAUAGCUCUUUCUUGAUUCAGAGGAUGGUGGUGCAUGGCCGUUCUUGAUUCGUAUUCCGAAACGUCUGCUUAAUUGCGAUAACGAGUGAGACCUCACCCAACUAACUAGUCGUUUGGUGCGCUGUGGAACGCUAAAGUCUUGAUAGGAUUUGGUUAGAGUAAGUGUGAGCAAUCAUAACUGCUUUGGCUGCCUGUUUAAGAUGUUCUCUGCUCGCCAGCGGACUUCUUAGAGGGAUAAACGGUGUUUUAGCCGUAAGAAACGAGGCAAUAACAGGUCUGUGAUGCCCUUAGAUAUUCUAGGCCGCACGCGUGCUACAAUGGCGUGUGCAGAAAGCUUGUUCGAGGUUUGUCUGGAGAGAACUGGCUGUUUGGCUGGCGUUUGCUCGCAAGGGUAGAUGUUAGUCGGCGGAGAAGUGACUCCAGUUAGCAAGCCGAGAGAAACCGCAGUCGAAAGAUUGUGGCAAUCAGAAAUACACGCCGUGAUUUGGGAUUGGGGAUUGCAAUUGUUGCCCAUGAACGAGGAAUUCCCAGUAAGCGCAAUUCAUCAUAUUGCGUUGAUUACGUCCCUGCCCUUUGUACACACCGCCCGUCGCUACUACCGAUUGGAAGUUUUAGUGAGGCAUUUGGACCUGCCGUCCACGGAGGGGGCAACUCUUCCAGGCUGGCGGGGAAGUCUGUCGAACUCAAAUUUCUAGAGGAAGUAAAAGUCGUAACAAGGUUUCCGU